rnacentral:rRNA from 1 species
CCUACGGGUGGCAGCAGUCGAGAAUCAUUCACAAUGGGGGAAACCCUGAUGGUGCGACGCCGCGUGGGGGAAUGAAGGUCUUCGGAUUGUAAACCCCUGUCAUGUGGGAGCAAAUUAAAAAGAUAGUACCACAAGAGGAAGAGACGGCUAACUCUGUGCCAGCAGCCGCGGUAAUACAGAGGUCUCAAGCGUUGUUCGGAAUCACUGGGCGUAAGGCGUGCGUAGGCUGUUUCGUAAGUCGUGUGUGAAAGGCGCGGGCUCAACCCGCGGACGGCACAUGAUACUGCGAGACUAGAGUAAUGGAGGGGGAACCGGAAGUCUCGGUGUAGCAGGGAAAUGCGUAGAUAUCGAGAGGAACACUCGUGGCGAAGGCGGGUUCCUGGACAUUAACUGACGCUGAGGCACGAAGGCCAGGGGAGCGAAAGGGAUUAGAUACCCCAGUAGUC